rnacentral:sRNA from 1 species
UUUUUUUCCUUAUGUU